GUUUGGAACUGUGGUUUUGGAAUCCAGAGUAGUCGCCUCGUUCUAGUAUCCAGUUGCUCCAGCACCAACUGGUGAAAAGACCAUCAUUCUACUCAGUUGCAUUUGAAGCUUUGUCAAAAACCAGACACAAUUGGAGACACAGGUUCUUUUAUCAAGGCCUUGACUGGAAUGGCAUAUUUUCAGAUAUGACCACAUUGCUUUGAGGAAAUGAGGUUGAUGUUGCAGAGCUGAUAAAACCCCCCACAGAAAGGCCAGCCUACCUCUGAACAGGGUCAUGCCCUUCCAACAUCCCAUCCUGAUGGCUGGAAUAUGGACAUGAGGGUGAACCACCUUGGACCAUGUGAAACAGGGUAACACCCCAAGGGCAGUAGAACAGGAAGACAACAAGCCUGGGUCUCAGAUAACUUUGUAGAUCAGGAUCCACAUAAAAGAUUGGACUGUUAUAUGAGAAAUCCUUUUAAAGAUCUAUAAGGUCUCUCUUGCAUACAACCAACUUAUGUGCUAACUAAUGUAUAAAGUGAGAGAAAACCUCAUCCUAUGACAUAUUCUCUGUACUAAUAAAGCCUUGAAGACAUUGACACUCUGGAUCAGGCUGUGCCUUGA
rnacentral:antisense_RNA from 1 species